ensembl:lncRNA
CCACCCUUAAUGGCCUGCUUCUACAGUGUGGCUCAGGGCUCACCCCUGAGAACUCAGCCUAGGUCCACUCCCUCACAUCUCCCCACAGGUGGGGAAUUAUCAAUAUUCCCUAGGAAAUACCACUCUUUUGCACUCACCAGAGAAGAUUCUGUUCUCUGCAAUAAGAAUACUAACUCAUACAUUGAAUUGUGCAUUUUAAGCUUUCUUGAAGCCUGUAACUUUAAAAAUUGUUGUGACUGGAGAAUUGGAGAGUACUGCAUUUCUUCUGAAAUUCCCUGCAGUCCAUGGGAAGAGACAGGAAACAAGGAAAGAACAGGGUUAAAAAUAGUUCAGAACAAGAAAGCUUCGAUUGUGGGAUCACCAAUGACCAUUUCACAUUUUCUGAUCUUUCUGCCCAGGGAUUACUGGCUUCAUGUCCAUCUUCCCUCCUAGACAGUAAACUCCAUGAGGACAGGGGGCCGUAUUUGUUUUGUCAACGCUUUCUGUGUGACACCCAGCAUACUUCUGGCUUAUAGUAGAUGCACAAUCAACAUCGUGUGACUCCAAAUACACAGCCAGGUUCGCGAGACGCUAACCUAGUCCAGCUCUUCUCCAAAUUCUGCAGAGGUAGAGACAGGUAAGGAGCGCACCAAGGCAGGAUGUCUAUCUGUUCAGUAACAUCAAUGGUUACCAUUUAUCAACCACUGCUGGGAGAGUGGUCUUGUGCUAGUCCAUUCUACACGUUAUCUCACGCUUCGAAAGAGUAGGUUUAUUACUCUCAUUUUACACAGAGAGAAACUGAGUCUCAAAGAAGUGAAGUAAGAGUCAUAGCUAGUGAUUGUUUUUAUUCGAACUCCAAAUUCUGAUUUCAAAGUCCAUGAUGCGGUUUCUGUUCCACCCCACAUCCUCUGUUACAGGGAUUCGCUGGCUUUUCAGGAACAGUGGCUCGACAGCGUAGGAGGCUCAGAGCGUCUACAACCCCUUCUUCAGUCACGGGAAGCCCUUUUGAGAGACUCUGGGUGUCCAGGUAUCGCCUGCCUCUGUGUAGGAAUAUCCUCCUCUUGUAGGGUGCGUCUCCUUUCCACUCCUAGGGGCAGACCCGGCAGUGGGGAGACCCACCCCAACGUGUUCUUCUGGAGGCCAAGAGGCAGGUCUCAGAACGCCUUGGUGGUUCGGCCAACCAAAUCUGAGGACACCAACACUAAUUUCUAGGCAGGAGUGCUUUCAGAGAAAAUAAUUUUACCCAAGGAUCGUUUGUGUAGUACAAUCAUAUUCGCCUUCACAGCACUUUUGGAUUCAACUUAAAAACCCCUUUUAAAAGCCAGUGUGACACAAAAGGAGCUUGGUUGAUUCUGUCACUUUAUUAUUCAUUCAUAUAUUCAUGUAUUCAUUCAACAAACAUUAAUACAGCCUCAACUACAUGUAAGGCACUGGGCUAGGAGCCCCAUUAAAUGUGUUAGUUUUCUCUCUCCAAUCACUGUAGUACAACUAGGAGGGUUGAAAUAUACUGUUUUGUAGUAAACGCUUUGGGUGGUUACAUCUUUGGAACCUUGAAUCCUGCGUGUGUGACUGUAAGAAUCGGUUCCUUUCUUGUAGAAACAUUCGAGCUAAGCUUAGUCGUAGAAAUACGUAUCCCUCUGUGUUGGACAUGACUCUUCACCACCUCAAUUGAUGUGAGUGUGCCUUAGCUACAUAUCAAGUCACACGAACUCACAAACAUGCCCAGUAUCUCCCAUAACAUCUAAUAUUUUAAAUGUACUUUCGUUGUCUCUUUGCUGUCUGAGGUUUCUUAGAUCCUGAUGACAAUUGUAUUAACAAAAUUUUGUGUCUAUUCUGCUCUGCUCAUCGGAGUAUGGGCACUGAUGUAAAGAAGAAAAGAAAAUGCCAACUUCCAGAAGGUUUUAAAUGAGAUAUUUUUGCUGAGGACACUUCCAGCAAAGACCAAUUUUCCCUGACCUUGUCACCCAGCUGGCCUCCUGAGAGGGCCACUUGGACUCCAGCGGCUGAUUCAUUACAGAUUCAAGUCCAGGUGGAGAAUACACUUGAGCAAGAGCUUAAAGCUCGUUAUAGUCUCACCUGCCAGGAAAAGUCCCUGCCGCUCAAGGUCUAUUAGAAAGGAUACAGCUUACCCGUAACUAUCUAGCUUUGGGCUGAAAUCGCACAAACGAGUUUCUAGUCCAUUAGUACCUUAAAAUCAGAAAACUCAAUUAGGUACUUCUAAAUUAAAUGACUGUUAAUUGGCAGAGAAUUGAAUUUUGAUGUUUUAAAACUUCUCGCCAAAAGCUUGAGACAUUUUAGUGUUUUAAAAUAUAGUGAAAAUAUAGUGAAGCAAUUAGAGUAAGAAAUCUGAGAAGUCAAUUCAAAUCGGGCUUCCUGCCACCUCCCUCCCGCCUCCCUGACUGUAGAUGUUUCUUAAGUACUCUGCACUUGAGUUCUUCUAUGUGGAAAACUGUAAGGACAUUCACCUUUGCCCAGAAGGUGUCAGGGUGCCCAUUUAGUGACUUGAAUCCUCCUUUCAAGUUCCAGAAUGCACUCUUCGAAGGAAGCAGGCCAGCGUCAACCGCCCCACCCCCAGGUCCCCUGUGGUAGUUGAGCCCAGGCCCAGCCAACCUCUCAGAGAACGGGGAGUCUUCAUGCAACUCCUUCUCCGCCCGUCUGGAACGAGAAAGAGAUUUUUCCUUUGGAUGAUUCCCAGCAGAGAGGGGUUUGUGCCUCAGAGAGAAUGAGGUUUAAUAGUUUUACCAACCCCGGUUAGAAAUUUAGUUCCCACUUUCCAGAUGUGUGGACAGUCUUCUCGUCUGUGAAGCUAUUGCCGUUCAUGAGGAACGAGCGAGACAGCAGAUGUCGAGCACACACACAGGGCACAGUAGAUGGUGGCUGCAACAGAGAGCACCCAGCGAAUGAGUCCAGCCCCGUGACAUCCACUGGCCGGCCUGGCGGGGCUGCCUGCCAGCCUUGGGGAAGCCUCCUAACCUGGGAAGGUCAAGUUCACGCAGGCAGGGGGCUUUCUCUGGUCUCCAUGCAGAGAAGCAAGAAAAGUGCUGUGGAUUGGGGAAAUAGACUCAGACACUGCUUUGGGGAAGAUGCUCAGGAAUGAAUGGUCUCUUCAUAUCCCAGCAACGUAAUGUCAGGAUUUCCCGACCAGUAACAUGGCUUCCUUUUCCUAAAUAGUUUUCAUAAUGAUUUCUAAUAGGAAUUUGCGUAUUUAAUGGGAACACAAUAUGCAAUUCUGUGUUUCUUAUUAAUACUCUGAGGAGCAAUAAUAGUCAAAGCUCCAAAAGCUUAUGAAGACUAAUACCCAAAUGUGGUUAAAUGUAUUAAAAAGCCUUAGUGAAAAAUGUGCACUAUUGAUCCCACUCACAGUCUUGGCUUUCACGAAGGGUCCAUUAAAGCACAGCAUGUGAUCAACGCAAAUUAAUCCCCAAUGUGUGGCUUUCCUCCGUCUUAAAAUGAAAUGGCAUGAAACUAAAGCUGAAAUAUUCUGGAAAUUGCUGAAUAAUUAUAACCUUUUUUCUUCUUUCCGUGUUUUAUGUAAUUUACUUAUCAAGGGUUUUCAAUAUUGAGUGUCUCUCAUGCAAACAACAGUUUCCAAAGUGGUUAAUAAAGAUAUAAUAAAAUAGACUUUUUUGGUCUAUCACAAAAAAAUUAGUUUAUCUUCCUCCCUAGGGCCCAAGGCAGAUAAAUCACAGACACUCAGCCAAGUUAGAUACAAAUAAAGUUUAUAUUACUAAAUCCUCAUGGUUCAACAUUUUGUUUAUCAAGAAAACUUCUAGACUGUUCAUCUAUAUAAGAACUCACCUCUCCUUCUAAUUAAUUAUUCUAAUGUUAUUCCCUGAUGAGUAGACUAUCAAAAAUAUUUUUAAGCAUUUUCUGCUAGAGAGCACUAAAUAAGAUUUUUUUUGUUCUCUGUAGAUUUUUAAAAUUAAAGUGAAAUUUAUAUAAUAUAAAAUUAGGCAUUGUCAAGCGUACAAUUCAGUGAUAUUUAGUACAUUCAUGAUGUUGUACAACUGCCAUCUCUAUACAGCUCCAAAACAUUUUCAUCAGCCCAAGAGGAAACCCGUGUCCACAUUAAGCAGUUAUUCCGUAUACUCCCCAACUCCUGUGACUGCCAAGCUUUGGUUGCUUUAAAACUGCUUACAACCAAUUAGAGGAAGAGAUUUCUAUGUGUUUACCAUGGGAAGCGUAGUGGUGACCUGGAGUACCUGGUAAAAAUGGAGACUCUGGGCGUCCGCGCAAAGACAUUCAGUGCAAUCAGUCCUGGAAUAUCAGCCUCGAGGCCGUUUCUCCAGACCUCUGAGCACGCUAGGGAGCUUGCGCUAAUAAGCACCUUCAGCCUAACAGGGUGACGGAGAUGUGAGGAGAAGGCCCCUUUUUAGAAGUUCCCUCUGAUGGGAUGAGAAGACAGGGUGCGGGGGCAUCAAGGUGGGUCAGGGGAGAGUCUGGAGGAUGACGCAGCACAUCUGCAUGCUGCAGGCAGACGUGGGCACUGAGGAAGCUUCUACUGGAGUGUCAUACUGAGAAGGAAGGAAGGUAGAAAGGAGGGAGGGAGAGGGGAGGAAAGGAAGGAAGGAAGAGAGGGAGGAGGAAGGAGGUGGACUGGCAGGAGGCAGGUACCUGUGAUCAACUGUGGCUAGAAGGAGAGCUGGUUGCUCAUUUUCACCAGGGAGGGAGAAGGAGGAGGCAGGUGUAAAAGCUGGCAGUUUGUGGAUUUGGUGGUGGGGAGCCCUUCUGAUUGUACCCUGUGUGCCUGAAAUUCUCCACUGGCAUUGGCUGACUUCAGGGACUACAGAUGCACUUACAUGCCCUGGGAACGCAAGCAACUGCUAUAAACCUUCGCUUCUUCAUUAAGUGACAAAAAGCUGCAAGACUGAGUUACAGCCCUGGAGGUUAUUGUCAUUCAAGUCAUAUGAGUAAAAGCUUUUGAAGGAGAAAGGUGAAAAUGUCCCAGGAAAGGAUGGGUGGGGAGGAGCAGAGAGCGAGGGGACGACAGUGGCAGAGAAGAAC